rnacentral:misc_RNA from 1 species
UCCGAGUUGACCCCGGCAGUCUCCCAUGAGUCCCCGCCAUUACGCGCUGGCAACAUGGAACGAGGGUUGCGCUCGUUGCGGGACUUAACCCAACAUCUCACGACACGAGCUGACGACAACCAUGCACCACCUGUCUCCUCUGCCCCGAAGGGAAGGCGCGGUUAAGCGCCGGUCAGAGGGAUGUCAAGCCCUGGUAAGGUUCUUCGCGUUGCUUCGAAUUAAACCACAUGCUCCGCUGCUUGUGCGGGUCCCCGUCAAUUCCUUUGAGUUUCACACCUGCGUGCGUACUCCCCAGGCGGAGCACUUAAUGCGUUAACUGCGGCACCGAAGCCUUGCGACCCCGACACCUAGUGCUCAUCGUUUACGGCGUGGACUAC